CAACAAUAGCACAUCUGUAGUGAACUAGUUUCCUUACAAAUACCUUUCACAGUCUCUUCCAGAAUUCUCACCUCAACCUUUUUUACUGAAACCCAGGGAGGGGGAGUGAGUGCUCUGAGGCACAAAUCCAGGAGUACCAGACGGAGUAGCUCUGUGGCUACCAGUGUGUCCCUUUAAGAGGGAGGCUCAUUCCUGGCAACUGGUGUUCAGAUGGGGCCUUGGAGAGGCCCUAGGGAGAGGCAGAAGUAGGACUGGGGGAACUGGGACUACAGAGACUGGUCGUCAGAGGGCAUUCUGAGAGCACCAAAGGAAGCCAGGUCUGAAGACAGGGGACCUGAGACCCUAGCCUGGAAGGAUCCUGCUCAAAAAGGAAGGCUCUGGCUCUUUGGGGCCAGACCUUUGACUGAGAUUUGGAGGACGAGAUACUGGCCCGGGAUGGGUUGAGAACAGCGAGUGCUGAGACAGCAGCAGCUGAUUUUAAUCAGAAGGAAUAAAUAGCCCUUCCUGUCCUCAGGGUUUCAGCAGAAGCAAAUACUGGGCCAGACCUUGUGCUGAGUGCUCUGGGCGAUGUGACCUUGUGGCUGCCCUCUGGGGCCGAUCGUCUAGUGGGGGGACAGACACAACUAACCACCACCCCUGUCUCCACUCACCGGAACAGAGACUCCCCCAGGGAGGACAGGUAUUCCAGAAAGAGUUCUUCUGUGACUUCUGUGCUCCCCACAUCAACCACAGAGUCUGGGGGCCCAAGCAAUGUCCCUCCCUAAAAGAGCCAACCCAAAGAAAGUCAUUAAGUCACCAUCCCCACUGAAUUUUUUAAUGUGGCUUCCCUUGGGAGACCACAGAUGCUCUGUUCCAACGUUUACCUUUCAGAGCAUCCAGGGCAGAUGAAGAGUGUCAUUUCCUAUCUGUAUCAAGGCUGCAAUGGCUUAGGGCUUCCUGUUAACUCUCCAUUGCCAAAUGCUGGCAACGUGGCUAAGAAGCUGGGCUGCUUUCUUCUGGUGGGGCCCUGGGAAACUGAGUCUCUGGCCAGUCUCAGGCCAGACCCCUGAUGCUGUCACCUCAUCCAGUUGAUAAAAAAAUAGAAACCCAGAAUCUGAAGUCUCCCUUUGUUCCCAACAGGCCUGAUCCCAAGGGCACAAAAGGAGAACCAGAAAUGGCUAGCACUUGACAGGCCAUCUUUCCAUGCCUAUAUUUAAGUGUAUGCAGCCAGUUUUUUCUUGUGACACACUUGCUAUCCCUUAGAACACUGGGGAAAUGUGAAGACUGUGAGAAGUCUGGCAGGCUGGCAAACACUUCCACAAUUUAGUUCUAUUUUAUCUGGGAGGCUAAUCUAACAAUGUCGAUAGGGUUCCCCAGGCAAGGGAGUUAAUGGCCCAUGAAAGGCCUACAGGAAACCCUCCACCAUGGGUUAAUAGACUGCUAUAGCAGACUAAAGGAGAGCCUGAGGCCAAGGGGAAAGCAGCCAUGGGUGUGCAACAGAUCACUGGGGAGGACAGAGCUGGGAAUGGCUAGGGGGUAAGGGAGAGCACUCCUGAGCAAAACUCCCUGGAAAGAUCAUUAAUUCACCCAAUAGCUAUUGGGCACCUACUGUGUGGCUGACAUUGUUCUAGGCACUGGGGAAAGCCUGGUGAGCAGGAUCAUUACAAUCGUCCAAGAAUAAUGGUCUCAAAAUUGUAAGAGACUGAAAGAUCACUAUUCGACCCCCUAUUAUUUAUUCAUAUAACAAAUAUGUAUUGAGAACUUACUAUGUGCCAGGCCUAUGCUAGGCACUGGGGGUACGAUGUGGACAAAACAGAUGAGAUUCUUGCCCUCAUGGAGCUUAUAGUCUAGCAGGGAAGGCAGACAAAAAAAAAAUCCCAUAAACCAAUAUAUAAUUUUGAGC